UGUGAGCAGGGGAGGGUGUGAGAGAGAGGGGGAGAUAGAAUCCGAAGCAGACUCCAGGCUCUGAGCUGUCAGCACAGAGCCCAACGUGGGGCUCGAACUCACAAACUGCGAGAUCAUGACCUGAGCCGAAGUCGGACACUUAACCGACUGAGCCACCCAGGCGCCCCUCAUUUUAUUUUUUAACAUCCACAUUUUACUCUUUUGCUUAUAGAAUAUGUAUUCGUGUGAAAAACUAAUGAACCUACUGGCAGUUUCAGAUCCUGAAGAUCUAGAAAAAAAUUUAUUCUUAAGUCUCCAAAUGGGUGGAGCUUGUGACCUUCCCAGUAAUUUGUAUGACAGAGAAUCUGCGUAUUGAACAAGUCUCGAACUCCCCUUUUCUUAACUUACAAGGUACUGGCCUACUUGAUAAUUCUGAUCCAAAAGCUUGAAUCAUUUUGGGGUGAGAUUUCUGUGAGUUCACUGUAUGGUGUGCUCUGUGGCCAUGAGAAAUCCAUCCAUCAGGUACAUUUCUGAUUGCACACAGGUAAAUGGUUUAUAGACUGUUAGCCCGCACUGCUGGUUUAGAUUUGAGGAAUUACUCUACAAGAACAAGGCAGGUUCUAUUUUUGACAUUUCAGCAAUGAGACCACUUGUACAUUAUGGCCUGAUUUGAUUUACUGUAAGAAAAUAAGAGUGCUGUAAUUUGUAAAAGACAUUUAUUACAUGAGUCCAAAAAUUAAAAAAAAAAAAAAAUGCUUAGUGUCUCUGUCCAUCCCAUCUGGUUUUAUUUUAAUCUCACUCCACUCACAUAUGAAAUUUUGCUUAGCUGUCUUCAUUUUCUUAGUCAAUCUUGAUUAAUGGCCUUCAAAGUAAAAAUAAUUGGCCUGCAUCAGGGUUGUUUUAUAACUCUUGUUCACAAAGAAUGUGAAAGGCUGGAAAAUGAGCCUAAACAGAAGGAAUGCAUUACUCUCGUCUUUGAGAAAGCACAGUCCUUCAGUUGUGUUUCACUGUGUAUUUUUAUAACAGGCGCCUCCUUGACCGUCCAUGAUACUGCAGAUACGCGGUGCCGAAAGCUUAUGUAUACUUCGUCAAACUGACCACGGCCACUUGCCAUCUCCCAGCGGCCGCACAUGUGAAGUCAGAGCUCAGCCUGGCCAGCCCCACGGGCCUGAGAAUUUGAAAAGUAAAUUAUCAGGAAAGCCGAGGCUCCGAAACCCAGAAAUUAAAAACGGGCAGGGGGGCUAAUUGUCUCUGAAGUUUAAAUGGCUUGUUUAUAAAAGGCUUCUCCAGCAUUUGUAUUUUUUUCCCCUUUCUUGAAAAGUGUGUUCAACUUGAAAGGAAUUGGGGGAAAUGCAGGCGCCGCGUGACCGAUGUGGAUUUGGAAUUGAGCUCUGCUUCCUCUCAAGGCCCCCAGUUCUGGGAGAGCCCCGUCCGUUCCGGGGCGCGGGGGCGCUGAACUUUUCUCUGUUUUGAGUUCAGAAAAAAGAAAAUAACCCUCUGAGAAGAUAAUUUCUUUCUUAACGUGAAAUUGGUGUAAAUGGAUACGUGAUGUCUCUUAAAAAGUUAGUCGUUUUAUGAUUGUUACUGAUUAGAAAAUUAACAUCAAGAACUUUCCAGCUUUUCAGUAAUCUCCCUACUAACCUCAAUUACCCAGUGAUUUCUCCCCCCCAAGAAGUUCAGCUGUUCUCAUGUUUGGUGUUUUAAAAACAAUUACAAUUCCCUCUCGGAUUUGAUUCGUGUUGGAUACAACUCAACACACAGGGACCUGUAGACAUCAGUAGACCUGUGCCCCACAUCCAGCUCAUGUUCAGCCAAGACCUCUGUUGGGAACAAUUACUUUCGCUCUUUCAACAGCCCCAGAGGUGGGCUGCCUUCUUCAGGGAGGUAGUUGAAAAGGUGAACGGCCGAGGAGAGUUUCCGGACACGGAGGAAAACUUUUGGACAGAUUAGAGCAACUACAGUGGAUCCUUGUUGUGUUCCAAGUGUUUUCGUAAAAGGAAAGUGAGUUCUUUCUGAGUUGGGAAGGCCGGAUCCUUAUACCAGGUCCAUAGGCAAAAUCUGGAUUGAGAAUUCCAACCCAGCCUCUUUCAGUCUACCUUACCUUUGCAUUUCUACCUGACAGGCUUUCUGGGACUCCUCCUUUCAUUAGGGCUUCUCAAUCCCUGUCCAUUCCUAGCCAGCUCCCCUGUCUUCUCAGCCCCUCCCCUCUCUUUUUUGUGUCCCCUGAGCCCUCCUCAGUCCUUUUAAGGCUUCUCCCUUGUCCCCAAAACCCUCUGAUCUCUCAAGAGAUGUCACUGGAAUUUUCUUGCCUGGUGAUUCGAGUUCCUUUUUUUGCACACAUCACAUCAUAGAAUGGUUUCAUUUGUCAGAAAUAAUGGGGCAAUCACAAAUAAUUUUCCAGUCUAUCAUACCCACCCAUUCGGCUCCUCUGACACACACUGAUCCCUAAUCUAGUCUGAAUACUAUAUAUUUGCAACAGUUUGUUAUUUAUUUAGAAAUCUAUUAACAGUAGUAGUUCCUGCCAUUUAUUGGAUGAUUUCUGAGUCUGUGUCACUGCACGAAGCAUUUCAGAAUUUAUUCAGCACCUGGUUUAUGCUAAACUAACAAUAAUAUUUUGAUAUAUUAUCUGUUAAUCCUUAGAACUAAGAAAUGAGUAUUUUAUACUCAUUUGACAGGUGAGUGAACUUAACCUUGGUUGCAGGUUAAGGGAAUUAACCAAGUGACGGUUUUAAUCCAAACCCCUUUUUCUUAACCUCUCUAUCAGGGUUUCUAAUCUUGGUACUAAUGACAUUUGAGAGGCAGAUAAUCCUUUGUCAUGAGGGGCUCUCCCAUGCUUGGUAGGAUGUUUAGUGGCCUCCCUAAUCUCUACCUACUACAUGCAAGUGUCACCAUCCUUGCUCUGCACCCAAGGUCAGGUCAAACAAAAAUUUCCUCGGGCACCUGGGUAGCUCAGUUGGUUAAACAUCUAGCUCUGGGUUUUAGCUCUGGUCAUGAUCUCACGGUUCAUGAGUUCUAGCCCAGUAUCAGGCUCUGUGCUGGCAGCUCAGAGCCUGGAGCCUGCUUCAGAUUCUGUGUCUCCCUGUCUCUCUGCCCUUCCCUCGCUUGUGCUAGCUCUCUGUCUCUCAAAAAUAAAUAAAUAAACAAAACAACAACAACAACAAAGUUAAAAAAAAAAAAUCCCUCACACAUUGCCAAAUGUCCCCUAGGGGAGAGAACCACUGCCCUACCUGUCGCCAUUGUACAGAGAUUUUCUCCUUUGUAAUUUAACGAAUCUGGACAAAGCUCUAUCGGGUCACCAAUGCUGGUUCAAUAUGAACACAGUCUCAACCAUGGUCAAUCCCAAGAGAUGGGGAAGAGGCAGCAAGGCCUUGUCAGAGAGGCCCUGUGGAGAAGCCCAGAUGAGGAAAACUACUCACGGAAGUAUAUCCUGGAAGCAGAUCGUUUGCUUUAAAAGUCAGGAAGAAGCAGAUGAACUGAGGCACGCUGUCUUCCACAUGUGGCUUCAUGAGUGGUUUCCAGCACUCCCCUGUGGACAUGCGAUAUGCGGUCUAGCAAAGAGAGAGAGAAAGCGAACGGGGGAAAGGACCAGAGGGAGAGAGAGAAUCUCAAGCACAAUCAGUGCAGAGCCCAACAGGUGGCUUGAUCUCAGGACCCUGGGAUCAUGACCUGAGCCAGAGUCAAGAGUCGGACGCUCAACCAGCUGAACCACCCAGAUGAGGAAACUGAACUCCAGAGAGUUUAAGCAACUUCCUGAAAGCUGCUAGAUAAUAAAGGUGGAGCUGGAUCUGGACUCCGGGAGAUUCACCUCCUCCCAAUAUGCCUUGCUUCCUGUUCACACAGCCACAUUGUUGGAAGAGAAUUCCCAUAAUUCUACACAUCUGGUCAUAUGAGUCAUUAGAUCAAAUCAUAUAAUAGCACGGAGAAUUUCCGAAAAUGUUCCAUGAGGCUGAUUUACAAGAUAAGCUGUUGGAGGAAAUUAAAUCCACACCUCCCAGGUAUACCUUCCUGCAUGAAGUAGGAGACAGGACCUCAGGCUCAUGGCAAAGUAUUUGGCCAGUGGGUUGGGCCAGACAUGCCAUCCCUUUCCUCCAGCAAGGAGGUAGCAGUGGAGGGGAGGAAAGAACGAAGGCAAUGAUGACUGAGAUGGAAAGGGAACCAAGUAGGUGAGAGCGUGGAAGACGGUUUCAGUAGUUAUCAUGAGAUAUGAGAUAUCCUGAGCGUCUGUUGUCUAGAAAGCAUUUCUCAGAAACUCUGAGAAAGAUGUGUAAGAUGCCUAUGUCAUUCCCUUUGAGAAAAUUAGUUACAGUCCAUAUUCACCUUCAAAGUUUAGAGUGAGCUUUGUGUUUUUGUUUAAUAUGCUUCUGCUCAGACCCCAGCCCCACAGAGCCCCAGCCUAUCUCUUACACUGAAUUAAGGACAUGCAGCACUUUGUCACUCCUUCCUAGCAAUGACUCAUUUCUUAGGUUGCUUUACUUUUCCUACAAUUUUUAUCGACCUGGUGAGCAGAGUGGACAUCAGAGAAAUGAGAACUAGAAACUUUUUUUUUUUGCUGUGAUGAGGAAAAAUAUAAACACAUGAAAAAAAAAAAAAAGGAAAGGAACUGGAGGAAUUAAAAAAGAAAGGCACCCCCUGAGGAUCCUGGUAACAACCACAUAAGGGAACUAUGUUAGCCCCCCUCUACCUAUGAAGCUAAAACAAAGUUUAGGAAUCUUGUUCAAGUGUAUAAGAGUAAACCAGCGGCUAUAGCAACCUCAACAUUUCUGCUGCCUAAUCCAUGAAAACUUCCCUUUUAUCUCAUGUGACAUUCUAAUUUAGUUUGGCCAUGGAUGAGGGUUAAGAGGUGAUCAUUGGUCAGGAUCUAAUCGUGUGACCACACAUAGUGCAAAGGAGACUGGGAAAUGUAAUCUGGCCAUGUGUCUAGGAAAAGGACAAGAUGGAUAUUGAGAAGUCCCGGCAGGCUCUUUCGCUAAGGUAAAACAAUUAGUGAGUAGCCAGCUUUCCUAUCUAUAGGUCUCAGCUAAAGUGCUAUAUCAUUUCGUAUUCUGAAGCUUUAUUUACUUUUUUUGAUUAGGACAGAUCACCUUACACUUGUCACCUUAUACUUCUUUAGUGCCCUUUUCAUAGACCUCCCCCCUCCCCCAUUUAAAAUGUCAACUUCAGAACUUUUUAUUCAUGGCAUGAGCCUUAUCAGAAUUUUGGUUCCCAUUUGCCUUGCCUGUAGUAAGAUUUGAUACUGAUUGAAGGGAAAACAGUGAAAAUAAAGGUUCACACCUUUAUCAUCUCCCUGCAAUAAAGAACUGGGGUGGGGAGGGCAGGGAUGGUGGGUGCUGAAGGUCUCAGCGAGAACAAACCCCCUACCUGAAGGAGAACCGGGGCCAGAGAAGAAAGGGGAAAACCAAGAAGACGGUCUUCAGAAGCUUUUCCAGAAACUUGUGCCCAAGGAUUUGCCCAGAAAUAUUGUAUAAUUGCUCAAGUGGCUUUUGUCAAGCACUUUGCUAAAAAUGUUCCCAUUUUUGUAUGCAAAUACUUUUCCUUUUCUACAUCUGAAAGCCACAUGUGAUUUUCAAUCAGCCAGCACAAACAGACUGACAGACAACAUCCCUCAGGAAAUGCUUGAUAUGCCAUCAGGUUUCAACACUCUUCUCCUUCCCCCCUCUGGAGCAAGCCUAUAAUUCUGCAUUUGUGUAAAUACAUAUGUGUGGCAUAUUUAUUCACAUGCUGCUGGGUAGAGCAAAUGACUCUGCAUUCUUUCCUGGUUAUGCAGUCAAGAAGUGACUGCAUGUUCCCCGCAUGCUGUUCAAGCCCACGAUGGGGAGUCCACAGGUGCUCACAAAAUAGGCUAGAGCUUGCUGUGCAAGGACCACAGACCUUUUCUGGCCACCUAUCCCCACCCGCAAGAAGACUUGGGGUAGAUUCUUCCUCCUCCAUGUUCCCUGCUCGGUGCUCCCAUAGUUCUGAAUACAGAGCUUUUGAUGUUCCCCAUACCGUAAAGGCUUGUUUACAUCUGUUCUCAAGUUUAUGGGCAAUCCGUCCAUUUUAUAACCUAGUAGAGACCAUUACAUAUAAUAAUUCUGUAAAAUCUUAUUGAUAAAUGAGUGCAUGGAUAAAGAAAAACUUAGACCCCGAAACAGUUUGCCUCAACAAUUCAGGGCCCUAAAAAUUUGGCAUCAAAUGAUUACUAAGUGUUCUGGUUCCACCUAAAACCUUAAGCAUUUGUUAAACCUAUGUAGUUACCGUAAUGCUUUUCUGCUUUAAUCCUAGUUAGAAAUUUAAAUGUAAUUCUUUAGGUUGUAAACUGCCUUUUCUGAGUGCAUCUGAUGUUCCACAUAAGCACUGUUCCUCUCGAAUUGCGUGUAUUGGGGCGCCUGGGUGGCUCAGUCGGUCGAGCGUCCGACUUCAGCUCAGGUCAUGAUCUGGCGUUCUGUGAGCUCGAGCCCCGCGUCAGGCUCUGUGCUGACAGCUCAGAGCCUGGAGCCUGCUUCUGCUUCUGUGUCUCCCUCUCUCUCUGCCCCUAACCCACUCUCAUUCUGUCUCUGUCUCUCUCAAAAAUAAAUAAACAUUAAAAAAUUUUUUAAUUGCAUGUAUCAAUUUAUGGAAUCUUCACCCUAAAAGUAGGUGCUAUUAGUAUACUCAUUUUGUAGACAGAGAAACAAAGAAAACUGUCACAAAGACGAUAAGUAAUUGGCCCACAGACCCACAGAUGUCAAAGGUCAGGACCAAGACUUGCUCAGGAGGACUGGCUCCCGGUUGAGUUUUUAAUCACGAUGCUAAACUCAUUCAUUUAACAACAAUUUAAUGAUAUCUAAUGAU